rnacentral:rRNA from 1 species
GACGAACGCUGGCGGCGUGCUUAACACAUGCAAGUCGAACGGUGAAGCGCCUUCCUUUUUGGUGGGUGUGGAUGAGUGGCGAACGGGUGCGUAACACGUGAGUAACCUGCCCCCUUCUUCUGGAUAACCGCAUGAAAGUGUGGCUAAUACGGGAUAUUCUGGGUCUGUCGCAUGAUGGGUCUGGGAAAGAUCUUGUUUCGGUGGGGGAUGGGCUCGCGGCCUAUCAGGUUGUUGGUGGGGUGAUGGCCUACCAAGGCGGUGACGGGUAGCCGGCCUGGGAGGGUGGACGGUCACACUGGGACUGAGACGCGGCCCAGACUCCUGCGGGAGGCAGCAGUGAGGAAUAGUGCACAGUGGGCGCAAGCCUGAUGCAGCGACGCCGCGUGAGAGAUGGAGGCCUGAGGGUUGUGAACCUCUUUCGCCAGUGAAGCAGGCCUGCCUCGUUUGUGGGUGGGUUGACGGUAGCUGGAGAAGAAGCGCCGGCUAACUACGUG